UUCCUACCGUUCAACUACAAUACUCUUGGUAAUGCAGAAACAACAAAGAUUGCAUGGCCUUUAACCUUUGUAUGUGUCUAAUAUCCUGCCUCUAUCACUAGUUGCGUCAUGUAAAUGCAUUGUGUGUUAACAGUUCAUUUUGUUAUUUUCUUUGUAGAUUCAAAAGAUAUAUGGAUGAUCAUAUGGGUGCGUGAUACUGCAAUGAUGUGAUGAUGAUAUUCCGGUUCAUGAUGAUGAUGAUGUUCUGGUUCAUGAUGAUGAUGAUGGAUGCUUUCAGUUUUAGUUAAGUUGUAAGGAUGUUGUUCAUGUUGGAUGUUGUUCCUAGGUUAAGUUUUUGUUAAGUUGUAGGGAUGUUGAUGAAUGCUUUCAGUUUAAGUUUCGCUGUCAAAAAUAUAUUUAGAUUAUGCAUCACAUUUGGAUGAUGUACCUCCUGUAAUACCCAAUAUUGUAAUCCAACAGUUUUAUCAAUAUAUAUGUU
rnacentral:lncRNA from 1 species